UUCUAUGGCCAUACCACCCUGAACAUACCAGAUCUCUUCUGAUCUUGGAAGGUAACCAGGGUCAGACCUGGUUGGUACUUGGAUGGGAAUAGUUAGAAUAAUGAAUCAUCAGUAGCCAAGAAA
rnacentral:rRNA from 1 species